AAGCCAGCCAAGUAAUCUUAUUUGAAUGUGUGUCUGCAGAAAUUUAGAAACAUCUGGCAAUAGUGAUGCCAUUUUUAUGAGCCUUAAGGACAAGUGAGGUCAUUACUGCCCCUCAAAAUGGCUAUAGUA
ensembl:snoRNA